rnacentral:lncRNA from 1 species
CCUAAAUCCCCCUCCAUCAUCUUUUUCUCUCGACACCUCCGGUCAUUCACUAUAGCCAUCUGGUUGAAAACCUAAUUCAUGGAGAUUACGAACAGAGCACGGAUCAGGACUUGAGCAUAUCCAACAAGGCUUGAAGGUAAUGUUUAUACGACUUUGUGUUUUACUAUAUGAUUUUUAUGGUUUUUUCUAGGGUGCUCAAUGCCAUUCUCGCCUAGCCAAUCAUCACAAGAUUUCACAGGAGCAAGUUAUUGAUGUGGGCCCUAAGAACACAUUAAUAUCGGCUAAUGUGUGUAGCUUCCAGUUCUGUGAAGGGCAUUUUGGAUGGUUCAACCUCUUCUGUAUCUUCCUCACCAAUAAACAAUACCCCUUAGGGGAAGAGUUUAGUUGAAAACCUUCUCUAGCCCUUCCUGAAGCAGGGUUAAUGAAUCUUGGUAGAACUUGUGCAGGCGCAGGCCGCACAACCAAUAUACCCUCAAUGUUCAUCCCAGUUACCUCUUGUGGUAACAGGGUCGAGAGCUAGGAUUUGGUUGCCAUGACAAAAUGUGGCCUUCAGGCUAGAAAUUUGUCACUCAAGAUAGAACAAAUGGCAUCAGGAAGAAGAAACGAUUUGAAUGUUUUGAGGAGGUAUGAAGUGGUGAUUUAGACUCUUACAGCUGAUAAAGCAGAUACAUCCACAAGUUCUUCUUCUAGGCCAUGGAGAUCACAUAUUAUCAUUAAAUCCUACUUUUAUUUACGAAGGCUAGAUGAGGCGAUCUAGAGUUCAUACAAAAACAAGAGAAUUCAUACCAUGUUACAAAAAGUGAAGGAAAUACAACCCAUGAAUCAACAAUACCUUGAGCUGAUGCAAUACGUGAGCUUUUAUCUCAUAUAGCAAGAAAUGAAGCAUAUAAAUUUGGAAAGCAUUCAAAAGCAGUAGAACAUUAUACUGCUCCUUUAUCUUGCAGCUUUGAAUCUCCUCCAUUUGCAUCAAUAUACUUUUGCAAUCGCACUGCAUCGUACAAAGCUUUGGGUUAAAUCAUAGAUGGCAUUGCAAAUUGCAGCCUAGCUAUUGCCCUUGAUCUAAACUAUCUCAAGGUUCAUUUAUGUUCUAUCCAAUGCGUCAAAUGGGUUAAAUCAAAAUAUUUAUUUAUUUAUUUAGUUAAAAAGGGAAUGGGUGAACAGUUAUCUAAAGUGUUUUUAUUAUUUGUAAGAGGUUGUAAAACGAUGUAAAUUGAUUGUAAAAAGUUUAUGUAAGUAUAAGACCAUUAUGAUACAAUUUGG